rnacentral:misc_RNA from 1 species
UUAUUUACUUUAUAAAAGUGUUACAUUCAAUAACUAUUGGAGUGUAAAAAAAAGGGUAUUACAAUGCACAGGGUGAGUGGAUGUGAAGGGUUGAGUCACAAUAAAGUGCACUCUGUUCUUCAUUAAUGAUCCUUCCGCAGGUUCACCUACGGAAA